rnacentral:rRNA from 1 species
UACAGAGGUCCCAAGCGUUGUUCGGAUUCACUGGGCGUAAAGGGUGCGUAGGUGGUCGGGUAAGUCUGAUGUGAAAUCUCUGGGCUCAACCCAGAAAUGGCAUUGGAUACUAUCCGGCUAGAGGAGCGGAGGGGGAACUGGAAUACUUGGUGUAGCAGUGAAAUGCGUAGAUAUCAAGUGGAACACCAGUGGCGAAGGCGAGUUCCUGGACACUUCCUGACACUGAGGCACGAAAGCUAGGGGAGCAAACAGG